rnacentral:rRNA from 1 species
CUCAGUUCAGAUUGCAGGCUGCAACUCGCCUGCAUGAAGUCGGGAUUGCUAGUAAUCGUAGGUCAGCAUACUACGGUGAAUACGUUCCCGGGCCUUGUACACACCGCCCGUCAAACCAUGAGAGUUGGCAACACCCGAAGUCGGUAGUCUAACCGCAAGGAGGACGCCGCCGAAGGUGGGGUUGAUGAUUAGGGUUAAGUCGUAACAAGGUAAC